rnacentral:tRNA from 1 species
GGUCCCGUGGUGCAGCGGCCUAGCAUACUUCCCUGUCAAGGAAGAGAUCGCCGGUUCGAAUCCGGUCGGGACCGCCA